UACAGAGGUGGCAAGCGUUGUUCGGAAUUACUGGGCGUAAAGGGCGCGUAGGCGGUCUUGUAAGUCCCGUGUGAAAUCCCUCGGCUCAACUGAGGAAUGGCACGGGAAACUGCUUGGCUUGAGUUCGGGAGAGGGAAGCGGAAUUCCGGGUGUAGCGGUGAAAUGCGUAGAUAUCCGGAGGAACACCGGUGGCGAAGGCGGCUUCCUGGACCGACACUGACGCUGAGGCGCGAAAGCUAGGGGAGCAAACGGG
rnacentral:rRNA from 1 species